rnacentral:sRNA from 1 species
AUUGGCUGGGCAGGCUGCCACUCCCAGGGCAGCAGGGUAAGUGGUGCUUAUCACGUGCCCGGAAUCACCUGACUAGCAGCGGCUGAAGUGGGGGCGGCGCGGGGGGGAGGAGUCACGAGGAGAUGGCAGGGCCGCGCCUCUCGUCGGUCUCCGGGCUUUCGCCCUGGGGGCAGCCCGCACGCACCUCUGCCUUCCCUGCGCGUGCUGGGCUGCUCCCCGCCUCCUUCCGGGCUCCGAGUGUACCGCAGGGAAGAUGCUUCUAGGCGUCUGGGGCUUCUUCUCUGGUGCUGAGGCCACUCACUGACAUCAAGCCACGAGCGGAGGAGGAAUGUGUAAUGGAUGCAGGAGGUGUGCAAGUCCACACCUCUGCAUGCAAGAACAGGACAAAAAGCUGCAUGAAGAAACAGAGAAGGUGGAGAAACAGGAUCCCAAACAGAGCCCAGAACUGUUUGUUCUGUUACCUCAGAACACUGACCUGCAAGCACGCCUGCCAGGUACACCAGCCCCACUCGGAGGCCUUUGUGGACCAUCUCCAAGGGAAUACCCAGGACGAGCUGCAUAAAAAGAUUCCCCACGAUGUGCUGGACUCUGCAGAGACAAACACGGGAAACCAUGACCAGUGAAGCUGACUUAAGGAACGAAGUCAGGUGUGGUGGUGCACAACCUUAAUCCCAUUUCCUGGAAGCAGAGGCAGGGUCUCUCUGGAACCUGAAGCAAGUGUCGUUCAGCUAGACUGUUAGCUGGCGAGCACAGCGAUUCCUCCUGUGUCCAGCACUGAAACUGCAGCCGCAUGAGCCACGCCCAGGGGGCGGGUCCUCUUCGCACCGCCCCCCAAUCCCGUCUGCCCGCGUGCCUUCUCUCCACCUCUACUGCUUCUCUAUACAGUACAUACCUCUUUAUGCUGCUCUUCAACUGAUACACAGCAAGUCCCUUACAUCAGUCAAAACGCUCACAAGUUAAUUUUUUACAGAGUGUGUUUGCAGGAGGCAGUCUGGUGAUUCAGUUUGACUCCUUCAUCACCUAAAUGGAGCACUGGACAACAUCCAGUAAGUAUGGUGGUGACCUACUCUUGGUUUGAUAGCGAUUUGGUCUCGUCUCAUUAAUAUUCUUAUAUUAGUAUCAGAAUUAGACAGUUAUGCAGAGCACAGCACUUCUACCUUCCAAGCACUGCCCAUGUGGCACACACACACACACAAAUAAAAAUAAUAAUGAUCAUAAUAAAAGUUCCAAACAGA